rnacentral:tRNA from 1 species
GGCCCCGUAGCUCAGACGGUUAGAGCAGGUGACUCAUAAUCGCUUGGUCGCGUGUUCAAGUCACGCCGGGGCCA